CCCGGAUGCUUCGUGGGCUUCGACGUGAAGGAGCCAGAAAGCCACCAUGUUAUCCCAAUUGGGAAGCUCAAAGAUAUCAAAUUCAUGUCCAUUUUCAGGUUCAAGGUCUGGUGGACUACCCACUGGAUUGGAACCAAUGGAAGGGACCUUGAAAGGGAAACACAAAUUGUCAUUCUUGACAAAUCCUCCACCGGUAGACCCUAUGUUUUGCUUCUUCCGCUCAUAGAAGGGCCUUUUCGGGCUUCACUUCAGCCCGGAAAAGACGACUACAUCGACAUCUGCACCGAAAGCGGGUCGAGCAAAGUCACCGAAACUUCAUUCCAGAGUGUUCUCUACAUGCACGUCGGUAAUGAUCCGUUCAGUUUGGUGAAAGAAGCCAUGAAUGUAGUUCGAGCUCACCUUGGAACUUUCAGGCUUCUGGAGGAAAAAACUCCACCAGGUAUUGUAGACAAAUUUGGGUGGUGCACUUGGGAUGCUUUUUACUUGACUGUUCAACCUCAGGGCGUCUUGGAGGGCGUCAAGGGGCUGGUGGAUGGCGGCUGUCCUCCAGGGCUGGUAUUGAUCGAUGAUGGGUGGCAGUCCAUUUGCCACGACGAAGAUCCUAUCUCCUCGGAGGGCAUAAAUCGGACAUCCGCCGGCGAGCAAAUGCCAUGCAGGCUGAUAAAAUUUGAAGAAAAUUACAAAUUCAGAGACUACGAGAGUCCGAAUAAGGACAAGGGCAUGGCAGCCUUUAUAAGGGACCUCAAGGACACCUUCAAUAGUGUGGACUAUGUGUACGUGUGGCAUGCCCUGUGCGGGUACUGGGGCGGGCUUCGACCCGGUGUUCCGGGCAUGCCAGAGGCGAAAGUGAUUAAACCCAAGUUGACACCAGGAUUAGAGACUACCAUGGA
rnacentral:lncRNA from 1 species